rnacentral:rRNA from 1 species
UACGUAGGGUGCAAGCGUUGUCCGGAAUUAUUGGGCGUAAAGGGCGUGUAGGCGGCCGAUCAAGUCGGGUGUGAAAUCCCUCGGCUCAACCGAGGAAUUGCACUCGAUACUGGUUGGCUAGAGUCCGGGAGGGGGUGGCGGAAUUCCCAGUGUAGCGGUGAAAUUCGUAGAUAUUAGGGAAGAACACCGGUGGCGAAGGCGGCCCACUGGAUCGGUACUGACGCUGAGGUGCGAAAGCGUGGGGAGCAAACAGG